AACGAACGCUGGCGGCAUGCCUAACACAUGCAAGUCGAACGAGACCUUCGGGUCUAGUGGCGCACGGGUGCGUAACGCGUGGGAAUCUGCCCUUGGGUUCGGAAUAACAGUUGGAAACGACUGCUAAUACCGGAUGAUGACGUAAGUCCAAAGAUUUAUCGCCCAAGGAUGAGCCCCGUAGGAUUAGCUAGUUGGUGAGGUAAAGGCUCACCAAGGCGACGAUCCUUAGCUGGUCUGAGAGGAUGAUCAGCCACACUGGGACUGAGACACGGCCCAGACUCCUACGGGAGGCAGCAGUGGGGAAUAUUGGACAAUGGGCGAAAGCCUGAUCCAGCAAUGCCGCGUGAGUGAUGAGGGCCUUAGGGUUGUAAAGCUCUUUUACCCGGGAUGAUAAUGACAGUACCGGGAGAAUAAGCUCCGGCUAACUCCGUG
rnacentral:rRNA from 1 species